GUCGUUCAGCUCGUGUCGUGAGAUGUUGGGUUAAGUCCCGCAACGAGCGCAAACCCUUGUCUUUAGUUACCAUCAUUCAGUUGGGGACUCUAGAGAGACUGCCGGUGAUAAACCGGAGGAAGUGGGGAUGACGUCAAAUCAUCAUGCCCCUUAUGGCCUGGGCUACAAACGUAAUACAAUGGCGUAUACAAAGGGAUGCGAAAGGGCGACCUGGAGCAAAACUCACAAAGUACGUCUCAGUUCAGAUUGGAGUCUGCAACUCGACUCCAUGAAGGCGGAAUCGCUAGUAAUCGCGGAUCAGCAUGCCGCGGUGAAUACGUUCCCGGCCUU
rnacentral:rRNA from 1 species